rnacentral:rRNA from 1 species
UGGGGGACAACGUUUCGAAAGGAACGCUAAUACCGCAUACGUCCUACGGGAGAAAGCAGGGGACCUUCGGGCCUUGCGCUAUCAGAUGAGCCUAGGUCGGAUUAGCUAGUUGGUGAGGUAAUGGCUCACCAAGGCGACGAUCCGUAACUGGUCUGAGAGGAUGAUCAGUCACACUGGAACUGAGACACGGUCCAGACUCCUACGGGAGGCAGCAGUGGGGAAUAUUGGACAAUGGGCGAAAGCCUGAUCCAGCCAUGCCGCGUGUGUGAAGAAGGUCUUCGGAUUGUAAAGCACUUUAAGUUGGGAGGAAGGGCAGUAAGAUAAUACCUUGCUGUUUUGACGUUACCGACAGAAUAAGCACCGGCUAACUCUGUGCCAGCAGCCGCGGUAAUACAGAGGGUGCAAGCGUUAAUCGGAAUUACUGGGCGUAAAGCGCGCGUAGGUGGUUUGUUAAGUUGGAUGUGAAAGCCCCGGGCUCAACCUGGGAACUGCAUC